ACUCUUUGGUCAAAUGUACAACAAAGAGCAGAAAUGAAGAUGAUUAAUGAUUCCACAAAUAACUUACAACAGUGGUGGAAAGUACAAAUGCCACACCUGCUGUCCUUACAGGAUUAUGAUGAUAUGCGACGACACAAUGGCUUCUACAGAGAGAAGAAGUGGAGAGUGGAAAGCAGCUGGGAAACUCAUGAAUCUUUGCUGAAGGCUUACAGAUAUAGGAAGAAGAGGUGAAUGUAAAACUACAAGAGCCAUUCAUGGAACUUUGUCUUGUCCCAAACCAACACUACUGCAGCUCAAGUCCUACCUCACUACUCUGGGUGGACUUGAGGACUCUCCACCCUCAGAUCUAAUCCUAAUGACAGGAGACAAGACAGAAAGGUUGUCCUUCCUCCUUGUGAUGAAACCUACACAGCUCCUUCCUACUUCAUGUCCCAGGAUGAAGGGCAGGGAAAAUAGCACCUCUCUGGGAAAAUCUGCAUGGGCACAAGGAAGGGUUUCCCUAUGUAGCCCUGGCUGGCCUUGAACACAUGGUGAUCCUCUUGCCUCAACCUCCCAUGGACUGGGAUUCCAGGCACGCACUGCCACACCUGACUAAAAUCUGGUUGGAAAGUUCCCUGACCCAGCAGCUCUUUCAUUCUGCAUGCUAGUAAAACCACACCACCUGGAUGAUACCAUGGUUUGUUUGCUGUCAGUAGAAGCAGUAGCCAGGCCUCCUUAGAUCAUGGCUAUGACACCUUCUGAGUACCUGGAUGACCAAGCACAGUAAAAUCAAUCCAAGGAAACCAAUUUCCUGGAGGUCCUUCUUGAGCAGGGGUCCCAGGAACUGUCUUCUCAAAAGAGAAGUUGAUACUUUUGAACACUUGAGCCUGAUGUGGAAAGUGCUGCCAAACAAUUUGGAGAAAAUAAUUACUGUAGCACAUCUGUCCAUGAACUGUAAACCAGUUUAAAAUAACAAUAUAGCAGAAAGAUGUUGUUUUUGUGCUUUGUACAGGCUAACCACUGAAGCUCCGUCUGGGUCCACUUGUCCCUG
ensembl:lncRNA